AACGAACGCUGGCGGCAGGCUUAACACAUGCAAGUCGAACGCCCCGCAAGGGGAGUGGCAGACGGGUGAGUAACGCGUGGGAAUCUACCGUACCCUACGGAAUAACGCAUGGAAACGUGUGCUAAUACCGUAUACGCCCUUCGGGGGAAAGAUUUAUCGGGGUAUGAUGAGCCCGCGUUGGAUUAGCUAGUUGGUGGGGUAAAGGCCUACCAAGGCGACGAUCCAUAGCUGGUCUGAGAGGAUGAUCAGCCACAUUGGGACUGAGACACGGCCCAAACUCCUACGGGAGGCAGCAGUGGGGAAUAUUGGACAAUGGGCGCAAGCCUGAUCCAGCCAUGCCGCGUGAGUGAUGAAGGUCUUAGGAUUGUAAAGCUCUUUCACCGAUGAAGAUAAUGACGGUAGUCGGAGAAGAAGCCCCGGCUAA
rnacentral:rRNA from 1 species